rnacentral:rRNA from 1 species
AGUGCCGUUGAUACUGUGAGGCUAGGAUUUGGUUGCUGUGGGUGGAAUGUGUGGUGUAUCGGUGAAAUGCUUAGAGAUCACACAGAAUAUCGAUUGCGAAGGCAGCUCACAAAGCCAAGAUUGACGCUGAGGCACGAAAGUGUGGGGAUCAAACAGGAUUAUAUACCCUGGUAGUCCACACUGUAAACGAUGAUAACUCGCUGUCGGCGAUAUACAGUCGGUGGCCAAGCGAAAGCGAUAAAGUUAUCCACCUGGGGAGUACGACCGCAAGGUUGAAACUCAGAGGAAUUGACGGGGGCCCGCACAAGCGGACGAGCAUGUGGUUUAAUUCGAUGAUACGCGAGGAACCUUACCGGGGCUUGAAGGUAAGACGAAUAUAUGGGAAACCAUAUACCCUACGGGCGUCUUGAUAUGUGCUGCAUGUUUGUCAUCAACUCGUGCCGUGAGGUGUUAUGUUAAGUCCUGCAUCAAGUGCAUCCCUAUUAAUAUUGGCCACCAUCCUCACGGGGGGAGAUUCUAUAUCACUUCCUCCCGCCCACUGAGUGUAGGGUGGGGGAUGACGUCUAUUCACCACGGUCCUGUAUGUCACGGGGCUACAUAUCUGCUAUAGUGGGAUAUACACAGGUGCGCUACUCAGUGACGAGAUGCUAUUCGUAAAAGUAUCUCUCAAUUGGGAGUGGGGUGUGGAAACUCUG